AACGAACGCUGGCGGCAUGCCUAACACAUGCAAGUCGAACGAAGGCUUCGGCCUUAGUGGCGCACGGGUGCGUAACGCGUGGGAAUCUGCCCCUCGGUUCGGAAUAACAGUUAGAAAUGACUGCUAAUACCGGAUGAUGACUUCGGUCCAAAGAUUUAUCGCCGAGGGAUGAGCCCGCGUAGGAUUAGGUAGUUGGUGGGGUAAAGGCCUACCAAGCCGACGAGCCUUAGCUGGUCUGAGAGGAUGAUCAGCCACACUGGGACUGAGACACGGCCCAGACUCCUACGGGAGGCAGCAGUGGGGAAUAUUGGACAAUGGGCGCAAGCCUGAUCCAGCAAUGCCGCGUGAGUGAUGAAGGCCUUAGGGUUGUAAAGCUCUUUUACCCGGGAUGAUAAUGACAGUACCGGGAGAAUAAGCUCCGGCUAACUCCGUGCCAGCCGCCGCAGUAAUAC
rnacentral:rRNA from 1 species